AAGUAAGAUGAUUAAAGAUGGGCUGCUAACUUAAUCUUUUAGCGGUUUAAUUCCGUUAUUACUUUUG
rnacentral:tRNA from 1 species